GCUUCUGUAGCUCAGUUGGUAGAGCACUUCACUCGUAAUGAAGGGGUCACGCGUUCAAGUCGCGCCAGAAGCU
rnacentral:tRNA from 1 species